rnacentral:rRNA from 1 species
CGAUCUGGCUCAGGACGAACGCUGGCGGCGUGCUUAACACAUGCAAGUCGAGCGAUGAAGCUCCUUCGGGAGUGAAUUAGCGGCGGACGGGUGAGUAACACGUGGGUAACCUGCCUCAUAGAGGGGAAUAGCCUUUUGAAAGGAAGAUUAAUACCGCAUAAGAUUGUGGUACCGCAUGGUACAGCAAUUAAAGGAGUAAUCCGCUAUGAGAUGGACCCGCGUCGCAUUAGCUAGUUGGUGAGGUAACGGCUCACCAAGGCGACGAUGCGUAGCCGACCUGAGAGGGUGAUCGGCCACAUUGGGACUGAGACACGGCCCAGACUCCUACGGGAGGCAGCAGUGGGGAAUAUUGCACAAUGGGGGGAAACCCUGAUGCAACAACGCCGCGUGAGUGAUGACGGCCUUCGGGUUGUAAAACUCUGUCUUUGGGGACGAUAAUGACGGUACCCAAGGAGGAGGCCACGGCUAACUACGUGCCAGCCGCCGC